UACAGAGCUUCUUCCUAUUCCAAGCACGUAAGACAAAAUAGGAAGAAGCCUCAGUCGUUGUAGACCAUUAAAAUCCUAUAGCAGAAGUGCUAAACCAACAAAGCCUUAAAUUCAUUACAAAACAUCACAGUUAAGAGCAAUUAAAGAGCGAGGAAGAUACGAGAGCCAAGGUUGAAUUUAUCCAUAUAUCAUGAGUUAAAAUAUGUUUAGACACUAACAACUUCCUAAAAACUCUUAAAUAAAAAUUGAUAAUACAUAUGCAGCUUUGAGACUACACUUGAUGCAUAGCCUCCCCUUGAGGUGGCUCCGGCUGCUCGGGAGCGACCCUUGCCAGGGAGUGAUUGUGGUGGAUGGCCUUGACCAUCAUUUUACAUGUGGUAGUGAUGAAAAUGGCGUAGAGAACAAACCCCACUUCAAUGACUAGGAUGCGGCCGAGCUUGUAAUCAAUGAAAUCAUGCUUGUUGUCUCUCCGGCGCCAUUCCGGAGAGGCCAUGGGGGAGGGAGGAAUGA
rnacentral:lncRNA from 1 species